GUUAUAUUGAAUAGUGUAUUUACACGCUGUAUUAAUAUCGAAUUUUUGAUAUAAAUUUAAUAAAUAAUGAAAAUUUCUAUACAAGAAAUUUGUGAAUUUGCAAGUAGUCAACCCAGUCAUAAAAAUUUUAUCGGUGGUGAAAGUAUACUUGAUGCGGGACAUCUAAUUAAGUGUGGUAGACAGCAAUCGGAUAAUAGUUGUGAUAAUGAAUAUAAAAUAAUUGCAUUCUGUCUGAAAACUUCUCAUUUAAAAGACCCACCACAUGAAAUUGUGGGUGCGAUAUCGCAAGAUGGAAAAGUAAUGGGAAUGUCGUGUUCGUGCAAGGCUGGUUUGAGUGAAACCUGUAAGCACGUGGUAGCUACACUUCUCUAUUGCAACAGGAAUGCUGUUGAGAAACUGCAGCUUAUCACCUGCACUGACAAAAAAUGCACUUGGAGUGCUCCUCAAAAAGCUGCACUUGAAAAGUAUGAACCAAAACCACUAAGGGAACAUGAAUGUUUUGAAUUAAAAGUACAGAAAAAUUUAGAGGCUCCAGGUAAAAAACAUAAAAAAAAGAAUGGUGAACCAACGGUGUGCAAUCAACCUAUAGAAUUGACCGAAGAAGAGAAUAAUGAGCUGUUGAGUAUAAUGCUAAAAAAUUUGCAGGGCAGUGCAUUGAAGGAGCACAUAGAUGGAAGACACGACGUUCUUGGGAUUGUUAGCAAUAAUUCUACGUGUGAUCUAUCUAAAGUGCAAGCUAUCUUCAAAAAUCAACUGUCUUCUAAUUUUUUAAGUAAUUUAGAGCAAGUUAAAGUACAACCUGUCAGAGAAUGCUGCAAAAAAAUAGUGUCUACGUUGAAUGGAAAUGUUUUUGACAUCUGUGUCAAAACAAUGGAGUUCCAUUCAACGUGGCUCGAAGAAAGACAAUUUAGGAUAACCGGCAGUGAUUCUUAUCAAUUAUUUACCUACUAGAAUUCGCCGAAGAAAAAGUGUAUAAUCGAACUGUCUUGUUCUUACUAGACUGACUGUUACACCCAUACACGCAGCAGAAAGUUUUACUUUUAUUUUCACGUAAAGGAAACUCCAUAAUUGAGGAUUUUUUAUCAAUUGUUAAAAUUAAUGCAAUUUUUCAAUAAUAACUAAGUUUACAGAUGAUGAUUAAUUACUUAAUAUCUUUAAAAAGAAUUUCAACAAUUCUUAACUACAGCUUCGGCAUGUUAUAUGACAUCAGCUGUUUAUAUUCAACCUACAUAGAGUAGUUCACAUUUGAUCCGUCAGGUAGCGUACUUAAGUGGAUGAUUUCCCAUAUUCGUUCGUUUACACAACGAUGUAGUAAUAAACCCGGUGGGAGCACUCGCGUGCUAUAAUCGCGAAAAAGUGAUGACUGCUUUGGUCCCACCUGGUUAGUUCGAUCUUCACGCACCAUCGGCGCUAGUGCCGCAUUAAGACCUGUUUUAAACGUGUUAACGCGUGCGGCACGUGCUAAUUUUCGACAGAACGUGAUGUAGUAAUACUUUUUUUGAUAACAGUGUAUAAACGUGAUUAUGGAAAAUGAUCUAAUCUUUUUGUAACAUCUUUUCCGAGGAAGCCAAAAUAAAGACAUCCUACCCUAGUAAUUUGGCCUGUGCAGAGAAUUUCACCCAAUAUAGAGAAUAACGUAGA
rnacentral:misc_RNA from 1 species